rnacentral:tRNA from 1 species
GGAGUUGUGACUCAGUGGUAGAGUGCAUGCCUCACAUGUGUGAGGCAUUGGGUUCAAUUCUA